CUUCAGAGGAGGGGUCCCCCAGCCCAGAUUGCAAGAGGGCACAGGCCAGGCCGAGGGACUCCACCAGUGCACG
rnacentral:pre_miRNA from 1 species